CACAGAAGCAGGAGGUGGGAUCAUCUUUUCCUUCUUGUCGGAAAUAGCGCAGCAUUGAAUCACGCUUCUUUGAGCGAAAGGGCACCGGGCGCUAAAAAAAACAUUGUAUAUGAUAUCGAAAGCGUGUUCACAACAAACUAUGAAUUCUAUCUUCGCUGUCCAACUAUGAAUUCUGUUCCCACCGGAUAAACUGAUCACAGUUGAACUGAAGGAAUCGGUACAACUAGGCACUAGCAACUAGUAAUUAGAUUCAAUUAUAACUGCAACGCUCCGCCCCAUAGCAUAAAUGCUAAGAAACUUCUUGACCUUAGAGCAUAAAAGUGAUUUCAUUUCCUUCAC
rnacentral:lncRNA from 1 species